rnacentral:rRNA from 1 species
GCUACGGGUGGCAGCAGUGGGGAAUAUUGCACACUGGGGGAAACCCUGAUGCAGCGACGCCGCGUGAGUGAAGAAGUAUUUCGGUAUGUAAAGCUCUAUCAGCAGGGAAGAAAAUGACGGUACCUGAUUAAGAAGCCCCGGCUAACUACGUGCCAGCAGCCGCGGUAAUACGUAGGGGGCAAGCGUUAUCCGGAUGUACUGGGGUUAAAGGGAGCGUAGACGGCAGCACAAAGCUGGAGUGAAAUGCCGGGGCUUAACCCCUGAACUGCUUUGGAAACUGUGCAGCUAGCGUGCAGGAGGGGUAAGUGGAAUUCCUAGUGUAGCGUUGAAAUGCGUAGAUAUUAGGAGGAACACCAGUGGCGAAGGCGGCUUACUGGACUGUAACUGACGUUGAGGCUCGAAAGCGUGGGGAGCAAACAGGAUUAGAUACCCGUGUAGUC